rnacentral:rRNA from 1 species
GAUGAACGCUAGCGGCAGGCUUAAUACAUGCAAGUCGAGGGGCAGCGCGGGUAGCAAUACCUGGCGGCGACCGGCGCACGGGUGCGUAACACGUAUGUAACCUACCUUAAACUGAGGGAUAGCCCCUCGAAAGAGGGAUUAAUACCUCAUAACAUUGCGAGAAGGCAUCUUUUUGCAAUUAAAGUUCCGACGGUUUAAGAUGGGCAUGCGCGACAUUAGCUUGUUGGUGAGGUAACGGCCCACCAAGGCUAUGAUGUCUAGGGGUUCUGAGAGGAAAAUCCCCCCACAUGGACCUGGGGCACGGACCAGACUCCUCCGGGAGUCAGCAGUAAGGAAUAUUGGUCAAUGGGCGCAAGCCUGAACCAGCCAUGCCGCGUGCAGGAUGACGGCCCUAUGGGUUGUAAACUGCUUUUGUACGGGAAAAAAACCUCGCUCGUGAGCGGGGCUGAUGGUACCGUAAGAAUAAGGAUCGGCUAACUCCGUGCCAGCCGCCGCCGUAACAC